rnacentral:rRNA from 1 species
UACGUAGGGGGCGAGCGUUGUCCGGAUUUAUUGGGCGUAAAGAGCGUGUAGGCGGCCAGGUAGGUCCGUUGUGAAAACUCGAGGCUCAACCUCGAGACGUCGAUGGAAACCAUCUGGCUAGAGUCCGGAAGAGGAGAGUGGAAUUCCUGGUGUAGCGGUGAAAUGCGCAGAUAUCAGGAGGAACACCGGUGGCGAAGGCGGAUCUCUGGGCCUUACCUGACGCUGAGGCGCGAAAGCUAGGGGAGCGAACAGG